rnacentral:tRNA from 1 species
GUCCUUGUCGAUUAGUGGUUAGAUCAUCACGUUGUGGAAACACAGAACCGUGAAGACGGAGGCUCGAAUCCUCCCUGGGACA